ensembl:lncRNA
CUGACAGACAUGCAAUGUUGACAAUGUAUUGUAGCAGUAUGGAAAUAGGAUUGUCCUGCUACAGUUAACUGCGCCUGCCGACCACUAGGGCGGCGGUAGUAUAUAAAGGCUGCCCCCCUUCUCGCGCCCCACUGAUGCAUAAUUUCCGGGUCAGGUGUCUGUCUGCGCAGAGUAGCGACAGAGUGCUCCGUGCCCCGUGCUCCUUUUUGUUCUUAGGUCCUCUCAACCGGUGGUAGAUGCCUUCCUGCCGUGUGGGUCUUUCUCUCCCUCCCUCUCCCUGUGCAGGUUUGACCUGGGAAACAGGGAAUGCUCAUCAGCUGGCCGAAACCCACAGGUGGUGAUUGAUGUGACAACACUCAGUUGAUUGCUGCUGCUUUGCCUGCAACUUUGCCUGCUGCUUUGACUGCUUUGAUUGCUUUGCCUGCUGCUUUGCCUGCAAUUUUGCCUGCUGCUUUGACUGCUUUGAUUGCUUUGCCUGCAACUUUGCCUGCUGCUUUGACUGCUUUGCCUGCAACUUUUCCUGCUGCUUUGACUGCUUUGCCUGCAACUUUGCCUGCUGCUAACUGCUUCUAACUGCAACUUAGUCUGCUGCUACAUGUAACCUUGUCUGUAACUGUCUGGCCUGUUAAAUGCUGUUAAUUGCAGUUUGAUCCCCGCCGCGACGUACCUAGCAUAUUGCCGGCACCAGACUUGGAUCUGUGUAGUUUUUGAUUCUAGCUGACUGAGUAAUUAAUCCUUUAGUUUGUAUUUCUUUUGGUUUGUUUCCCUUAUUUUCUUUUUGCUUGGGUUACGUGAAUUGUUUGAUCAGGAUGAUUUUUAUGUGAAUUAUUUUCUUUUUCUGUUUUGUGUUGUAAAUUUUUGGUUUAAUCCUCUUGUAACCUUCUUUUUUUCGUUAUCCUUCCUAGCGGCUGUAGGCUGGGCGUGGCGCCGGUGGUGUGGAUGGUGGUGGUCUUCCUCGUGUGUCGUGUUCCAUUGGAUUUUUGUGCUAUCACUGGGUGAACUCUGGUUUGGUUUUCUCUAAGUUUGUUUUAUUUUUCUUUCCCCUUCACCGGCGAUUCUCACCAUUAGGCCUUAGCGAUUACUUUUCUUUUCUUAUUUUGUGAUGAAUGUUAGAUUUUACGGUAAUGUAUAUUUAUUGAAAAAAAAUGUUUUUGUAAACUGGGAACCACGAGCCCUUGCCUAUUGAGUGGAACGAACCUGUGUGCUUUAAAAGGUCUUGGGCCUAUCCCAAGUGGCGUUGCCGGUAGAAUAGGAAACCACUACGCCACAGUAUCAUCACAUGUACCCUUGUGUCACUGAGGUUGAAUGUUUUGCCUUGACAUGUAAACGGGUAACAUAUAUGAAUGUAACUUACUCAAUCGAUAGAUGCAGAGCAUAAAGGUCAGCAUAUGUUCAUGCUAAGUGGUGUGGAAACACUAACAGUUUUGAGGAACCCGUCCUUGACCCUCUAGCAGAACUACGACCAGCCAUUAUAAAGCAGUUUAUAGUUGUUAAUGUUGUGUCAAAGGGUACGGCAUUUAAACAUGUUCUUGCACAAGUUUCCUGGCUUCAUCCCCACCCGGACAGACAUUUUGAUGGAAAGCCAAUAGAAGUUUGGGGCUUGCAGGGAACAGACACGUCAUACAGCAUCACUUCUGCCAGUUGGGCGCAUUGCUAGAAGAUGUGUGGUUAAUACAUCCUCUGUGCAUUUAAGUAAGACCAAAGAAAAGGUCACUGUAGUCCUGCCACUAUGCACUGUAGUUGAGCUCUAGGAGACUGUGAUCUCUGCAGACCCCUCAUGCUGAUUCAAAUGUUGUUUGCAUGGAAUGCUCAUUUUACCUCGAUUAAAACUAAUUUUUUAAAGAA